AUGGUGCCUCUUUACAAUGUCAAUGUAAAACUCAUUUGCUUUUUCAAACUUUUAAAGGAUAGUAGUUAUCCAUUGGUCUUAGGAACCAAAAAAUUGGUGCAACUCCAAAUAAAAGUAAUAAACUUAUUUACUUCUUCCGCCCUACUCACACUACUCAUACUGAUCGCCCCUGUCAUAGCAUCUAGUACAAACCUCUACAAAAACAACAAGUACCAACAUUAUGUAAAAAAUAUAACCCUCUUUGCUUUCAUCACCAGCCUAAUCCCAAUAAUAAUAUUUAUCCAUACAAAUCAAGAAAUACUCAUUUCAAACUGACACUGAAUUACUAUCCAUACCCUUAAACUAACACUCAGCUUUAAAAUAGACUACUUUUCACUUAUAUUUAUACCCAUAGCACUAUUCAUUACAUGAUCUAUCAUAGAAUUUUCAAUAUGAUAUAUGCACUCCGACCCUCACAUCAACCAAUUCUUCAAAUACCUACUUAUUUUCCUCAUUACCAUACUUAUCCUCGUCACAGCUAACAACCUCUUCCAAUUAUUUAUCGGAUGAGAGGGAGUAGGAAUCAUAUAUUUCCUAUUAAUUGGCUGAUGAUUCGGAUGAACAGACACUAAUACAGCCACUCUUCAAGCAAUCCUAUAUAAUCGUAUCGGAGACAUCGGAUUCCUUCUAUCCAUAGCCUGAUUCUUACAUAAUACAAACGCAUGAGACUUACAACAAAUCUUCACACUCAACCAAAAUCCCCCAAUCCUCCCUCUUAUAGGACUCACAUUAGCUGCAGCUGGAAAAUCAGCCCAAUUUGGUCUACACCCCUGACUACCCUCAGCAAUAGAAGGUCCCACUCCAGUUUCAGCCCUACUCCAUUCAAGCACAAUAGUCGUAGCAGAAAUUUUCCUACCUAUCCGCUUCUACUCUCUAACAGAAAAUAACAAAUUUAUUCAAACAAUAAUACUUUCUCUAGGUGCCCUCACCACCCUAUUCACAGCUAUCUGUGCCUUAACCCAAAAUGAUAUCAAAAAAAUUAUUGCUUUUUCCACCUCCAGUCAACUUGGCCUAAUAAUAGUAACGUUAGGCCUCAACCAACCACACCUAGCCUUCCUGCACAUUUGUACACAUGCUUUCUUCAAAGCUAUGUUAUUCUUAUGUUCCGGCUCCAUCAUUCACAAUCUAAACAAUGAACAAGACAUUCAAAAGAUAGGAGGACUAUACAAAAUCCUUCCCUUCACUACAACUGCCCUAAUCAUUGGCUGCUUCGCACUAACAGGAAUACCAUUUCUCACAGGAUUCUACUCUAAAGACCUCAUCAUUGAAGCUGCCACUUCGUCUUAUACCAACGCCUGA